GAUGAACGCUAGCUACAGGCUUAACACAUGCAAGUCGAGGGGCAGCAUGGUCUUAGCUUGCUAAGGCCGAUGGCGACCGGCGCACGGGUGAGUAACACGUAUCCAACCUGCCGUCUACUCAUGGACAGCCUUCUGAAAGGGAGAUUAAUACAAGAUGUUAUCAUGAGUAAGCAUUUUCGCAUGAUUAAAGGUAUUCCGGUAGACGAUGGGGAUGCGUUCCAUUAGAUAGUAGGCGGGGUAACGGCCCACCUAGUCUUCGAUGGAUAGGGGUUCUGAGAGGAAGGUCCCCCACAUUGGAACUGAGACACGGUCCAA
rnacentral:rRNA from 1 species